rnacentral:lncRNA from 1 species
AGUCUACACACCAACUCGCCGAGUCUCUUCACAAAACUCAAAAUAAAAGAAUAAUUAAUAUACCUGAAAUCCUAGAUGUUACGAUUCUCCCCCACUAGAAUCCGACUUCGCCCUCGAAGUCUCAUUCCUGAAAUAGCUCUGGAUGCUGCUCCCACAUCUCCCGCUCCGGUUCCCAGGUCAACUCGGAUCCCUUCCGAUGCUACCAUUGAACCUGUACCAGAGGCACUUCCUUGUUCCUCAGAACCUUGAUCUUCCNNNNNNNNNNNNNNNNNNNNNNNNNNNNNNNNNNNNNNNNNCGAUCCACAAUCGCAACUGGUCUCUCCGCGUAGUUCAGGCUCGCACCCACCUGAAUAUCCUCUAAUGGCACCACUGCCGAUUCGUCGGCUAUGCACUUCCUCAACUGACACACAUGGAAGGUAUUAUGAAUCCGCUCCAAUUCCGCGGGUAGCUCCAAGCGAUAUGCUACCCUGCCCACUGUCUCGAUCACCCGAAACAGUCCAAUAUACCGGGGUCCUAGCUUGCCCCUCUUCCUAAAUCGGAUCACUCCCUUCCAAGGAGAUACCUUCAGGAGAACAUAAUCACCGACCUGGAAAUCGAGUACGGUUCGACGUCUAUCUGCAUAACUCUUCUGGAGACUCUGAGCGGUUAACAACCUCUACCUGACCUGCUGGAUCUGCUCGGUCGUCUGAAGCACAAUCUCCGUACUACCCGUCACGCGUUGCACUACCUCACCCCAACAAAUAGGGGUACGACACCUCCUCCCAUACAACAGCUCAAAGGGUGGCAUACCGAUGCUCGAAUGAUGGUUGUUGUUGUAGGAAAACUCCGCCAAGGGCAAAUACGCGUCCCAGCUACCGCCGAAGUCUAACACACAUGCUCGAAGCAUGUCCUCGAGCGUCUGAAUCGUCCGCUCACUCUGCCCAUGGGUCUGAGGGUGGUACACGGUACUGAAAUGCAGCCUCGUUCCUAACUCCUCGUGAAACUUCUUCUAAAAUCUGGAAGUAAAUCGCACGUCUCGAUCUGAAACAAUCGACAUCGGAACCCCAUGCCGCGAUACCACCUCCCUCACAUAUAAGUUUGCCAACCUCUCAGCAGAAGAGCUCUCACUAAUAGCAAGAAAAUGAGCGCUCUUCGUCAACCUGUCGACGAUCACCCAAAUUGCAUUGACUCCUCUCGCAGUCCUUGGCAAUUUGGUGAUAAAAUCCAUGGUAAUCUAUUCCCACUUCCACUCAGGAAUCUCCAAUGGUUGCAGCUUACCAUGCGGACGCUGGUGCUCGGCCUUAACUCGGCGACAAGUUAGGCACUUCUCGACGAACCAAGCAACAUCCCUCUUCAUACAAGGCCACCAAUACUCCUUCUUUAGGUUCAAAUACAUCUUGGUAGCCCCGGGAUGGAUCGAGAACUUCAAUCGAUGUGCCUCCUCCAUCAAAAUGGUACGCGUCCUGCCCACAAACGGCACCCAAAUCCGACCCUGAAACGUCAUAAGUCCCCGACUAUCGGUAACGAAUUCCGGUACCUGACCAACCACCCGCUCUCUUUUCUGAUUUUCUGAUCUCACAGCCUCAGCCCGAGCCCCUCGGAUGGUGUCCAAAAUCGGGGAAAUCACCGUCAACCUCAAACAGAUGUUUCGCAAUGGGGCACUCUCUGCCCUACGACUCAGGGCGUCGGCUACCACAUUAGCCUUACCCGGGUGGUACAGGAUCUCACAAUCAUAAUCCUUUACCACAUCCAACCAUCUCCUCUGCCACAUAUUCAGAUUUGGCUGAUCCAUCAAGCACUUCAUGCUCUUGUGGUCCGUGUAUAUCGUACACCGAACCCCAUGCAGAUAGUGACGCCAGAUCUUGAGGGAAAAAACCACAGCCCCCAACUCCAGAUCAUGGGUGGGAUAUCUCGUCUCAUGAGGCUUUAACUGCCUCGACACGUACGCGAUCACAUGCCCUCUCUGCAUCAACACCGCUCCCAACCCUGAUAUCGAUGCAUCACAGUACACCACAAAAUCCUCCAUCCCUUCCGGCAAUGCAAGCACGGGAGCUUCACACAAUCUCUGGCGAAGGGUCUCAAAUGAGGUCUGCUGCUUCGGACCCCAUGAGAAAGUAACACCCUUCUGGGUUAACUUGGUCAGUGGCACAACAAUUUUGGAGAAGUCUCUGAUAAAUCUCCGAAAGUAGCUUGCCAGCCCCAAGAAGCUCCGGAUCUCCGCAGGUGACCUCGGCACUUCCCAACUCAUCACAGCCUCGAUCUUGGCCGGGUCAACCAAUAUCCCAUUCUGGUUAACGAUAUGCCCUAAGAAUUGGAACUCCUGUAACCGGAAAUCGCACUUGGAGAAUUUGGCGAAUAGCCUCUCCGAUCUCAGAACUCAGAGGAGCUCCCUCAAAUGCUCCUCAUGCUGCUCUCUAGUCCUCGAAUACACCAGGAUGUCAUCAAUGAAUACAAUUACCAAUCGAUCCAACAUCGGCCUACAUACCCUGUUCAUGAGGUCCAUGAAAGCCGCGGGUGCAUUGGUGAGCCCGAAUGGCAUCACCACGAACUCGUAAUGCCCGUAACGAGUCCUAAACGCCGUCUUCUGGAUAUCCUCAUCCCGAAUCCUCAUCUGGUGAUAUCCCGACCUCAGGUCUAUCUUAGAGAACCAAGACUUCCCCCGCAACUGAUUGAAUAGAUCAUCGAUCCUCGGUAAUGGAUAACGGUUCUUGACCGUCAACUUGUUCAACUCCCGGUAAUCAAUGCACAUCCGGUGUGAACCAUCCUUUUUCUUGACAAAAAGGAUCGGCGCUCCCUAAGGAGAGCUACUGGGAUGGAUGAACCCUUUCCCCAACAGCUCUUGCAGCUGUGAGGAUAACUCCUGCAUCUCUGGCGGUGCUAGUCGAUAUGGUGCCUUAGCGAUAGGCGCAGCCCCGGGAAUCAAAUCGAUAUGAAACUCCACCUGCCUCUGGGGAGGCACACCCGGCAACUCAUCAGGAAACACGUCCGGAAACUCAUGCACUAUCGGCACCUCAUCCACUGAACUUGGCCUCCCAGCGGCCUCUCGUACAUCCAACACAUAGGCUACGAAUCCCUUGCAGCCCUGCUGCAAACUCCGCCUCGCUCUAGCGGCCGAACAGAACACCGAACCACCGCAAGUCCCCUCGCCAUAAACCGUUAGCGCUCCCUCACUAGGAUCUCGGAUCUUCACCAAUUGAUGCUUGCAAUCUAUGACAGCCCCGAAACGGCUCAACCAAUCCAUGCCUACUAUGACACAAACAUCCCCCAUAGCAAUCGGAAUCAAAUCAAUCGGGAACUCCACCCCGAAGAUCUCUAGCACGCAUCCACGUAUCACCUCGGUAACACAUACCUCACGCUCAUCUGCUAUGGAAACCCGCAGAGGUCGGCUCAACGCCUCUCUCGAAAUACUAAUGUGCUGACUAAAAGUCAUAGAUAUGAAAGACCGACUUGCACCCGAGUCGAACAAAACUAAUGCAGGUACAGAACUCACAAGAAAGUACCUACACAUAAAAUAUAACAAUCACAAUAGCAUAAACUCAAUAUAAAAUAGAUAAAGAUUACAUCCCCGCCACGACGUCAGGUGUUGCGCGGACCUCCUCCGCAGUCAGCUGGAAGGCUCUCCCCCUAGCCUUCGGUGCUUCGGCCUUCACUGGCCGGGUCUCGGUAGCUCGAACCACAGGUGCAGAUCCCUGCGCUGAUCUCUGAAGCUGGGGGCACUCGGCCUUCCGAUGGCGGUCUGGUUGCAAUGGAAGCAAACCGAGAACCCCUUCGGACAGUCCCUCGCAAAAUGUCCUUCCUUCCCGCAUUUGUAGCAUACCCCAGUCUUGCACGGCCCGUCAUGGCUCUUGCCGCACUUCCCACAAGUGCGGCCCCUCGAACUNNNNNNNNNNNNNNNNNNNNNNNNNNNNNNNNNNNNNNNNNNNNNNNNNNNNGCUGCGACUGCGCCGGUCGCCGAUCACCCCUCUGCAACUCAGUGUCCUCUCUUACCUGUGUCUCAAGCUCGAUCUCCCUCUUCCUGGCAUUUGCCUGGAGCUCGGAAAAAAUCUGAUAAGUCAAGUUCGCCACGAACUCACAGAUGUCCCUCCUCAAAAUACUCAAAUAACGGCUCAUGCGAGCCUGCUCAGUGGACACCAACUCCGGGCAAAACAGCGCCCGCUCAUGAAACAUCCUCGUAAUCACUGUCACCGACUCGGUCCGCUGCUUGAGUGUCAGAAACUCCUGAGCUAAACGUUCCCUCUCUACCGGGGGAACAUACUUGUCACGAAACAUCGCAGUAAAUCUCUCCCAGGUCACUGCAGUCAGCUCAGUUGUCGAAUAGCUCGCGGUCACAAACUUCCACUAGUCCUUCGCCCCCAAGCGAAGCUGGUUGAGGGCAAACCGCACCCUCAAGUGCUCCGGACACGAGCACGUAUAGAAACAACCCUCUAUGUCUGAGAUCCACCUCAUGGCGGCGAUCGGAUCCUGUUUACCAUCGAACUGUGGUGGUUUCGUGUUGCUGAACUCUCGGUAUAGCAACGAAUCACCACUUUGGGGUCUCGCAGCAGCAACAGCUGCUAUGGCUGCAGCAAUAGCAGCAUCAGUCAAAGCAGCGUAAUGCUCGUCAAACCUCUCAAUCAGUGUGGUCUUAAUAGACCCAAACAUCUCCGGAAUCUCGGCUCUGAUGGUAGCAGCCACCUCCUCAUGGAUGAUCUGACGGAUCUCCUCAUCACUCACCCCACUGCCCUCGGUAGUAUGGCGUGUCCUGACCAUGAUCAAUCUCUAAAAUACAACAUAAAAACUAUUAGGGACACUCUCAAGUAGACUCACACUCGAUAACUCAAACAUCCUCUCUCUCCUGGUACCCCAAGGAUUCUUACUUGGACUGUGCACCAAUCCGGUGUUUUCAAUAGUAUGGGCCCAAUACUAUUGUCCACAUCGAAUCAAUAUACAAUCCAAGUCCUCCUCCUAGGAUCCCAAGUCGCAAAUACUCUACUCUCGCUAUGCACUGGCUACCCUCAAUUGCCCUCUCUUGAGCUCCUCACUGCUACCUACUCACUCUCAAAGUAUCUCAUAGGAGCAGCGAUCUCCUAAGCUAAGGCUUCACAAAUUAGGCCCACUCUAGUCCUAAUAGGAAUACCUAGCCUCUCUAACAUGCACAACAUAAUAUCUCAUAACUCAUAACAUAUAAUGUAAGGGUAUUUUGGGGAUUCACCGUUCGGGCGCUGGCUGACUGUACACACCAUCCACUCUGCUUGUUUCCAAAACUUCUCUUUUCUUUUUAGAAAAUUUGCAUUUUUGGUUGUAAAAUUGCUCAAAUCCUCAGUUUGAGUUCAAAUACGCCCGAAGGUGCAUCCGAAUCCCUCAAACCAAGGCUCUGAUACAAACUUGUAACAUCGUAGAUUUUCAAAAUAACUUUUAUUUUCAAAAUCACAUAGUGUAUUACAUCACUAAUCAAAAUCCAUAAAAAUACUGUUUUCAGAAACAAAUCCGAAGAUCUCUACACAUAAUAAACUCCAUUGGUGUGUGUGUACGUGUCAAGCCGUCGCCUUCCCACGGUCCUCGCUAGUACCUAAGACAUCAAACACAACAACUGUAAGCAUAAAGCUUAGUGAGUUCCCCAAAAUACCACAUACCACAAAUACGCCUCUCGAGGCUGACUCGACUCUCCGGUGAAGAUGUCUCAACGGAACCCUCCAGUCCCGCAGCUCGUCGAACCCUUCGGUCCAGUCAUAGCUCUUUGGGCCUUCUGGCCCGGUCUGAAUCGUUGGACCCUCCGGUUCGGUCUAUAUAGUCAUACAACAUGCAACAUACAAAUAACACAUAACACGAAAUCUCUAAGACAACACUUAAACUCAUACAUAGCACAUGAGACCCUCUGGUCAACUCGAAAUACCUACUCAAGGUAAUGUAUAGUGAGAAGACUCACCUCGCGUAUCACAGUAACUCGUAAAUCUCGUGACUACUAGUGCUCGAUCACCCGAGCUAUCGUCGUUCUACAGCACAUGCAUAACUCUACUUAAUACCACCUUGACUCUGACUGACUAACACAAUAAAGUCAACUAGUCAAUCCUGUUCAACGGUCAACGGUCAACCCGACUUGCCGAGUCUGGCUUAGACUCGCCGAGUUCCUAUAGAAACCCGAUCCCUCUGAAUUUCUUCCGACUCACCGAGUCACUCACCCGACUCGAUUACUCAACCCCCGGUUCAUACUCGUUGAACAACCCGCACCAACUCGCCGAGUGCAUUCCAUGCACAACCCCAAACGACCUUCUGAGGUCAGAUCUGCUUCACUAAUUCAUAGAUCCAGUCUCCUUAAGCUUAUUGACCAUGUAAAGUCCAAGUCUUGAUGCUCAUCAAGCAUUGAAUAGCUCAUGAAUGGAGUUUUAGCCUCAAAUACGUAGAUCCCAAAAUAAAACCUCCAUGGAUGCACAUAAAGCUCUGGCAAUGAGGUGAUCUGGACCUCUAUGGGUCCAGAUCCAGGACCUUAACUCGCUAAGGGACUAUAAGGACACUAGAUCAAGCCACAAAUGGGUUCAAAAGCCCUAAAUCCACAUGAACAACACAAUAACAGAGAAUGAUUCGAGAUUGUACCUUAGUUGUGAUGUUCUGAACCUCAAAUCAUCAAGAAUCCACCCCUCUCUUGCUUCCUCUUGGCUAGAUCUCCUCUUUCCUUGCUAGACAACAAUUCCAAGAUCAAUAAUGGCUCCUUCCUUCACUUGAAUCACUCAAACGCUCUAGGGUUUCUCUCUGGGGACUAAUGAGCGCAAAUGACGGCCGUAAGGCCCUUUAAAUAGGCCUCAAACCCGAGAAAUUAGGGUUUCAUUAAACAGCGCAGACUCGCCGAGUCCACCAAGGCGACUCGUCGAGUCCGGCAUCAAUCCGGGUGAAAACCCGCAUCUUAACUCGGCGAGUCUAUGCACCAACUCGCCGAGUCUAUUCCCAAAACUCAAAAUAAAAGAAUAAUUAAUAUACCUGAAAUCCCGGAUUUUACAAUUCUCCCCCACUAGAAUCCGACUUCGCCCCCGAAGUCUCAUUCCUGAAAUAGCUCUUGACGCUGCUCCCGCAUCUCCCCCUGCAGUUCCCAGGUCAACUCGGAUCCCUUCCGAUGCUGCCACUGAACCUGUCCCAGAGGCACUUCCUUGUUCCUCAGAACCUUGAUCUUCCGAUCCACAAUCGC